rnacentral:rRNA from 1 species
CAGAGGUCCCAAGCGUUGUUCGGAUUCACUGGGCGUAAAGGGUGCGUAGGUGGUAAGGUAAGUCAGGUGUGAAAUCUCCAAGCUCAACUUGGAAACUGCAUUCGAAACUGCCUUGCUAGAGGAUUUGAGGGGGACUGGAAUACUUGGUGUAGCAGUGAAAUGCGUAGAUAUCAAGUGGAACACCAGUGGCGAAGGCGAAUCCCUGGAAAAUACCUGACACUGAGGCACGAAAGCUAGGGGAGCAAACAGGAUUAGAUACCCUGGUAGUCCUAGCCCUAAACGGUGCUUGCUUGCUGUAAGAGGAAUCGACCCCUCUUGUGGCGGAGCUAACGCGUUAAGCAAGCCGCCUGGGAAGUACGGUCGCAAGAUUA